GACGAACGCUGGCGGCGUGCCUAAUACAUGCAAGUCGAGCGGACAGAUGGGAGCUUGCUCCCUGAUGUUAGCGGCGGACGGGUGAGUAACACGUGGGUAACCUGCCUGUAAGACUGGGAUAACUCCGGGAAACCGGGGCUAAUACCGGAUGGUUGUCUGAACCGCAUGGUUCAGACAUAAAAGGUGGCUUCGGCUACCACUUACAGAUGGACCCGCGGCGCAUUAGCUAGUUGGUGAGGUAACGGCUCACCAAGGCGACGAUGCGUAGCCGACCUGAGAGGGUGAUCGGCCACACUGGGACUGAGACACGGCCCAG
rnacentral:rRNA from 1 species